rnacentral:rRNA from 1 species
UGCGCCUUGCCAGCCCGCUCAGAAACUACAAAUGAAGUUGACGGGGCCCCGCACAAGCAGCGGAGCGUGUGGUUUAAUUCGAUGCUACACGAAGAACCUUACCAGGGUUUGACAUACAAGUAGUAGGGAAAGGAAACUGGACCGACCCUUCGGGGAGCUUGAACAGGUGCUGCAUGGCUGUCGUCAGCUCGUGUCGUGAGAUGUUCGGUUAAGUCCGCUAACGAGCGCAACCCUCGCUGUGUGUUACAAGUGUCACACGGAACUGCCGGUCAUAAACCGGAGGAAGGUGGGGAUGACGUCAAGUCAGCAUGGCCUUUAUAUCCUGGGCUACACACACGCUACAAUGGGAAGGGACAAUAGGUUGCGAAGCCGCGAGGCGGAGCCCGGAAUCCAGCAAAACUUCCCUCAGUUCAGAUUGCAGGCUGCAACUCGCCUGCAUGAAGUUGGAGUUGCUAGUAAACGCAGGUCAGCCAUACUGCGUUGAAUACGUUCCCGGGGCUU